UACAGAGGGGGCUAGCGUUGUUCGGAAUUACUGGGCGUAAAGGGCGCGUAGGCGGCCCGCUAAGUCGAACGUGAAAUCCCCGGGCUCAACCCGGGAACUGCGUCCGAUACUGGCAGGCUUGAAUCCGGGAGAGGGAUGUGGAAUUCCAGGUGUAGCGGUGAAAUGCGUAGAUAUCUGGAGGAAUACCGGUGGCGAAGGCGGCAUCCUGGACCGGUAUUGACGCUGAGGCGCGAAAGCCAGGGGAGCAAACGGG
rnacentral:rRNA from 1 species